GGAAGUGUAUCGAAGCGGUCAUAACGAGGCGGUCUUGAAAACCGUUUGUCCACCCGGGCACGGGGGUUCGAAUCCCUCCACUUCCGCCA
rnacentral:tRNA from 1 species